UUCACGGGCUUUUCCUCGCCUGAGUCACUGGCGCUCGAGCAAGACUGUCACACUAGAGUGGUCACAAGUUCACGUGCAUCACAUGUAGAUCAACAGUUUAACCUAGGACAUGAUUCAGAGCGAUUGCUGGGAGAGCGCAGCUAAUGUGAGCCUUAUAUGCUGUCUGCGGCUGACCUUGAGCAAAGGAAGAUACUACUGGCCGGACCUACCUGUCGGGGGUGGCAUCUUGGUGAGAGGAUUUAUGGCUGGGAGCAAGGUCCUAGCAGGCACCGAGUCCCAUUAUCUCAUCCUCUUUCCAUGUUCUGGAUGACAGAUCUUGCUGGGGAGGAGCUAAUGGAGUGUUUAAACGGGUAUGACAAGCUUGAGGACCUUACCAUCCGAUCCUGGCUGAUAAACUAUAUCUCGCUCAUCCCUCGACUGCUAGGGGCUCUACCUCUUGGCGAUGAUGCCAUUACUCAUGUAUUUUCUCGGAUUCACUUAGAGCUCUCUUUUUCUGUCGUGUACUGCUCUUUUAUUCAUUUAUUUACAACUGGUCCGCCAGGCUCCUACUGCUCAUGAUCUGAUUGGAGGAUGAUCCUCUCGAUGCUCUAGGACUUCUCAUGUUGCAGGCUCAUCUGCUGGUGUGACUUCCGAGGCACCUCUUAUGGCCGUGUUUGAUGUGGUUCUCAGGAUUGUUGCAUUCCCCCAUAAUUUGAUGGCUUUAUAUUAAAGCCUACUCAAUGUUAUGAAGCUCUGGCUGGCCAUGGAUCAAUAUUUUCCUCCGGAGUUCAUUACAAGCACUUGUACCCAUGUUUAGAGGGAUCAGUAUGAGCACGUACAUUGACUGGUCGAUGCCGUAAGAAGACAGCUCUUCAUCCUUGGCGAGGACUGGUGGGUAAGAGCCAAAAUAAAUUAUAAAUUAUGAGAUGUAAAGUGUGCAUGUAUACAUGAAAUUUGCUAACUAAUUCUCCUUUUAAGUUUUCAACAAACGGACCAAGAGGGACUGCAGGGGCAACUGGACAACUCGCAGGGUCAGCUUGAUUCUAAACAAAGUUAGAUCGAUAUGCUAACCCUUCAGCUAUUUGCCUUGUAGACCUAAGGGAUAGAUGCUGAAUUGGAUGACAAGAUGGGUAGUUCGGGAGGGAACUCCGGCUUCUGAAUUUCCUUUGUAUUUUUCUUCUGAUUGCUUGUAAAACUUGAGACCUUAUAUAAACUUUUAUCUUUUGAAGAUAUAACA